rnacentral:rRNA from 1 species
AUGGAAACUUUAGAAGAACAUGUGAUGAAGGAACAGGUCAAGGACACACCCGAAGAAGACCCAAUUAAACCAUGCACCAAGUCAUGCUAUUCAUGUGGAGAAGAAGGACACAUCUCCCAAAAUUGUCUGAAGGGGGAUCUAGUAGAAUUCUUGACAAUGGAAGUAGAGUAUGACCUACAGGAAAUAGAAUUCCUAAUUGGCAUGGAAAAAUCCAGGAAGAGAAACAGAAUGUAUCCCCAGAACAACCCAAUUUCUACAAGGAAGAACCUGAGUCAUAUCACAUGUUUCAGGUGCAAGGGUUCAGGGCACUACUUCAGUGGUUGCCCAAAAAGGAAGCCGAGGACCCAAGGAGGCUAUAUGAUCACAAGGAAACCUCGAGACUUGUCAAAAGUAAUAUGUUUCCUUUGUAAUGAAGCAUGA